UCUAGUACUUAUUAAACACUAAUAAAAAAUUAUAUAAAAUAAUUCACAAUCCACUUAUGAUAAGUAUUAUGAAGUGUCAUCCUAAAAGCUCAAUGGAAAAACGUGUUUUGUCAUGGUAUGUCAUAACAAUAAAUGAUGGGCUUCUAUUCCUAUAAAGCAGACGAGACAAACACAAAAGCUUUGUUGAAAACAAAAGUGAAAGGGCUGCUCACACGUGAGACGUGGGUUGAGUUAAGUCACAUCGUAUACAAAGCGUUUGCAGCAUGUUAUCUCAUUACGUUUUCAGUCUUUGCCUGUACGGCAGCAGCUUUUCCUAGAUUCACACAGCAGGUAAAAAAAAUAAUAUAUAUUACAUUUUUAACAAUCUAUUGUUCCAAAUUUCUUUGUUUUAUCAACUUUUUCUCAAUUUGAGCACUUGUUCCACUUUUACAAGCGAUGGCAGCAGCAGAUUUUUCCAGAACCAGGGGACCGGCUGGUGCCAGAGGCUUAUUUCUCAUCUUAUCUCUGCUGUGCCUCAUUUCAGUCUCAACUUCCCUGUAUCCCGAGGACCAACUGAUGCUUGAGUACAUGAAGAUGGCGAUAAAAGAAGCAGAAAGAUGGAAGGCAGAAAACAAGUAUAGAAAGGAAACAAUCACAAAACUGUUUGAUCUCUCAAGUUCACUGAAUAAGAAGGAGCCACUGGUAAAUGCUAAUGUUGGAGAAAUACGCUCAUCAGCUGGAAAUGGUGAAGAGAUUAUUGCCUGAUUCCAAACCACUGAAGGAAAUCGUUAACAUCUGUUCGCACAUGUUGAAGAAUUUAAGAACUUUAAUAAACAAGAAGAUGAGUUUGCUGCAAAAAUAGAGAGCUGGGUGCGACAAGGAGCUUAUAUCCCCAUGAAGUUAUUCAUUUGGAACUUUACUAAAUUAAUGUGACACAAUGUUGCAGUAAACAGAGAAUGUCUUUUGCUUUACUGAUAUUGACCAAUAAUUCAUUAAUGUUCGAAUAUAUAUUUAAACAUUAUACAUUUGUAUGAAAUUUGUAUGUAUCUGUAUCAUGUGAAGAUUUUUUUCUUGAGCUUUCUUCGUCAAGCCCUAAAGUUAAAAUAAAUCAGAGCUGAUGCUUCUUGUACUAACUGUAGCUUCCUCCCCCGCCCACUUACAAUGGAGACGAUGACAGUCUUACCUUGCUUCCUAACUUUUCUUGAAUUUGUACUUGAAAUUAAAAAUUCAGAAGUUUAUGGAUUUUAUAAAAUAUAAAACUGC